rnacentral:rRNA from 1 species
CGAAGGGGGCUAGCGUUGCUCGGAAUUACUGGGCGUAAAGGGAGCGUAGGCGGAUAGUUCAGUCAGAGGUGAAAGCCCAGGGCUCAACCUUGGAACUGCCUUUGAUACUGGCUAUCUUGAGUUUGGGAGAGGUGUGUGGAACUCCGAGUGUAGAGGUGAAAUUCGUAGAUAUUCGGAAGAACACCAGUGGCGAAGGCGACACACUGGCCCAAUACUGACGCUGAGGCUCGAAAGCGUGGGGAGCAAACAGGAUUAGAUACCCUGGUAGUCCACGCCGUAAACGAUGAGUGCUAGUUGUCGGCAUGCAUGCAUGUCGGUGACGCAGCUAACGCAUUAAGCACUCCGCCUGGGGAGUACGGUCGCAAGAUUA